UUUAAGUGUGUUGAAUUUUACUUAUUUCUUGCUUGCUUUCAAAGAGAAUCUUCAAUAAUCUGCGUCUUAAUGGAAAAGCUAGAAGGAAACUAUUCGUUGAGGCUUUAAAUCUUAUAAAGUUUAUCGCGAGAUUUUUAACGACAUUCACCGGUUUCGUAAAGCGGUCGUUUGUUUUGGCGCAAUACGGAAGUGUCGUCUUGAUGCAGUUUUUUGGCUGAAAGUUGACGACUUCUUCGUCUCACGACGUCUGUCAUUUGUUUUACGUUUGCCAUCAGUUUUAGGCAGUAACUGUUAGCUGUCGAGAGUACCGGAACAGACUGUGAAGUAUUUCUAUAGAUCUAAAUAUGGUUCGUAAAAAAGGACAGUUUGUCUGGCAUUCGGAACAUUCCUACACUAGUGAUCCAUGAGGACUUUAUCCAGUUUCCAGAAUGGCAGGAAGGAAGAUCUUAUUCAAUUGGAGCACUUGUCAAGGCAGCUUAAACGUUGCAAUAAAUGUAAUCAGCAGCUGCAUCUUCACAACACCCUCAAAAAGCCACAUUUGGUCUUGGUGCAUAAUUUGUUAGUCGAACUAAUCCGACGUAUACAGUUUGUUUUAUAUUGUGACGGUCAAACUGUGGCUGCAAAGUCAGAAAUUAAAAAGCAGCCGCUCAGCGACAGUAACUUGUCUACAUUUUCCAUACAAUUUCAAAAAUAAAUACUAAAAAAACACCAUGGAAAUACAUACGACAUCAAUACAAAAUAACACAGCACCAGAAUGAGUGCGGAAGUUGUCCAGAGUGGUGUUGCAUUGUUCCUGUUCAUUUAUGGUUUACAGUUUCCAAAAGUCUGAACCAGAUAUGAGUAGAGUACAGUUUGAGAAAUGUCUUGGUAGAACAGAUACUAAGGAAAUAAUAAAGAACAGAACAGACCAGAUUUCUCCUUCUUAUAACUGGUAAAGUUCCAAGUAAGAGCGAGUACAACAAUGCAGCCCCAAUGAAAGUUAGUGAUGAGGUGUCAACUGUAAAUGUGUGGUCGUUAAAUGAUGUGCAGUCAGAUUGACAAGUAACAUUAAUUUAUAAAUCAGUUCUGAGAGAAAUUUUUGCUGAGCUUUGUGCAGGAUACUCUUCAAAAAUACAUGAACCAGGAUUUUAUAUUAUAAGUACAAUGUCAGAUGUACUCCAGACUUCACACAUAUGUUGAUGUUUAUAUACAUAUGUGAUGAUUAAUUUGUCAAGUGAAGAAAUUUUAGGAAUAACGUUAGUGGGUGACAGAACAGAAGUACAAAGUCAAAGUCAGAGGUCGACAACACUGAGUUUAGGAUACAGAAAAUAUCCGGUGAUUCUGACGAAACAACAUGCAUAGUAAGAUUAUACUAGUAAAAUAAAAACUUUUAGUGUAUGGGAAAAGUUUGGAAACAGGUUUACCAUUGACAGUAGAGGCAGUAUUUACAGACUUGUCUACACUUAUUUUGAUUUGACUUUUACACAGUGAUUCCUUCAGUCAACAGCUAGUGAUCUGAUAGAAAUGUGUUCAUUAUAUUAUACAGGUUUUGAGUGAAAUGUAGAAUUAAUGUGUAUUUAAAUCAAUCAAAAUUGGAUGUUGAAACUUUACAACUGUUUAGUAUUUCAGUAAUCAGUUAGGAUUUUUGAGUGAUUUCAAUAAAGUACAAAUGAAAAAAAAAAAAGAAUCACUAUCAGUUAAGAUGAUGUGCUAUUGUAAAAGAUAGAAAGAAAGAAAAUUCACAAGUCACAUUAAUUUGGUAAAAAGGAUUUCAACAGAAUUAAACUAAUUGGUGAAGGAUUCUGCAUGUUGUAUCAAAUAGCUAUAAUGUAUUUUGUAGUUCUUUGUAUGUAUCUUCUAUCUAUCUCUUUUCAAACCACAUUUCAUCUCUUAAAUCUAUUGAAAUUGCCAUCAAAAU
rnacentral:lncRNA from 1 species